CGGCGAGUGAAGCGGCAACAGCUCAAAUUUGAAAUCUGGCUCUCGGGCCCGAGUUGUAAUUUGUAGAGGAUGCUUUUGGUGAGGUGCCUUCCGAGUUCCCUGGAACGGGACGCCAUAGAGGGUGAGAGCCCCGUCUGGUUGGACACCGAUCCUCUGUAAAGCUCCUUCGACGAGUCGAGUAGUUUGGGAAUGCUGCUCUAAAUGGGAGGUAUAUGUCUUCUAAAGCUAAAUACCGGCCAGAGACCGAUAGCGCACAAGUAGAGUGAUCGAAAGAUGAAAAGAACUUUGAAAAGAGAGUUAAAAAGUACGUGAAAUUGUUGAAAGGGAAGCGCUUGUGACCAGACUUGGGCUUGGUUGAUCAUCCGGGGUUCUCCCCGGUGCACUCUUCCGGCUCAGGCCAGCAUCAGUUCGCCCUGGGGGAUAAAGGCUUCGGGAAUGUGGCUCUCUCCGGGGAGUGUUAUAGCCCGCUGCGUAAUACCCUGUGGCGGACUGAGGUUCGCGCAUUCGCAAGGAUGCUGGCGUAAUGGUCAUCAGUGACCCGUCUUGAAACACGGACCAAGGAGUCGUCUUCGUAUGCGAGUGUUCGGGUGUCAAACCCCUACGCGAAAUGAAAGUGAACGCAGGUGAGAGCUUCGGCGCAUCAUCGACCGAUCCUGAUGUUAUCGGAUGGAUUUGAGUAAGAGCAUACGGGGCCGGACCCGAAAGAAGGUGAACUAUGCCUGUGUAGGGUGAAGCCAGAGGAAACUCUGGUGGAGGCUCGCAGCGGUUCUGACGUGCAAAUCGAUCGUCAAACAUGGGCAUGGGGGCGAAAGACUAAUCGAACCUUCUAGUAGCUGGUUUCCGCCGAAGUUUCCCUCAGGAUAGCAGUGUUGAACUCAGUUUUAUGAGGUAAAGCGAAUGAUUAGGGACUCGGGGGCGCUAUUUAGCCUUCAUCCAUUCUCAAACUUUAAAUAUGUAAGAAGCCCUUGUUGCUUAAUUGAACGUGG
rnacentral:rRNA from 1 species